GCACAGUCUUGAUGAAUAGAUCUUUUCCUUGAAUAAAACAGUAUGCAUUCUAUGAAGAAGAAAUGGCAUGCAUAAGGCUGAAGUCCAGAUCUCUUGGGAGAAGAUGUGGCUGCCAGAGGAACAUGCAGUGCUGGAAAACUUGCCAGAAGGCACAAGGCUGGAGGUGGUCUGAGAGGGUUUCUGAGUUUGGAGCCUUGGGGAAAUCCCUCAUGUGUUUUCUUCCUUGGAACUUUUUAGAAUUGGCCAAUCAGACCUGAUGAUCAGAGAUGCGUAGUUUUUUUUUCUCUUUGCCGCUUUCAUUUUGUGUAACCCA
rnacentral:lncRNA from 1 species